GUCCACGCUGUAAACGAUGACGACUAGGUGUGGGGUGGUUCAGUCCAUUCCGUGCCGCAGCUAACGCAUUAAGUCGUCCGCCUGGGGAGUACGGCCGCAAGGUUGAAACUCAAAGGAAUUGACGGGGCCGCACAAGCGGUGGAGCAUGUGGUUCAAUUCGAUGCAGAGCGAAGAACCUUACCUGGGCUUGACAUGUAGGAAGUAGAAACCCGAAAGGGGGACGGACCUGUUAAGUCAGGAGCCUACACAGGUGGUGCAUGGCUGUCGU
rnacentral:rRNA from 1 species